rnacentral:lncRNA from 10 species
GUGUCUAGCUCAGGGUUUGUGAAUGCACCAAUCGACAUUCUGUAUCUAGCUACUCUGGUGGGGCCUUGGAGAACCUUUGUGUCCACACUCUGUAUCUAGCUAAUCUGGUGGGGACGUGGAGAACCUUUGUGUCUAGAUCAGGGAUUGUAAACGCACCAAUCAGCGCCCUGUCAAAACAGACCACUUGGCUCUACCAAUCAGCAGGAUGUGGGUGGGGCCAGAUAAGAGAAUAAAAGCAGGCUGCCCCAGGCAGCAGUGGCAACCCGCUCGGGUUCCUUUCCGCAUUGUGGAAGCUUUGUUCUUUUGUUCUUUGCAAUAAAUCUUACUACUGCUUACUCUUUGGGUCCACACUGCUUUUAUGAGCUGUAAUACUCACCCCGAAGGUCUGCAGCUUCACUCCUGAAGCUAGGGAGACCAGGAGCCCACCAGGAGGAACGAGCAACUCCAGACGCGCCGCCUUAAGAGCUGUAACACUCACCACGAAGGUCUGCAGCUUCACUCCUGAGCCAGCGAGAUCACGAACCCACCAGAAGGAAGAAACUCCGAACACAUCUGAACAUCAGAAGGAACAAACUCUGGACACGCCACCUUUAAGAACUGUAACACUCACCGCGAGGGUCCGCGGCUUCAUUCUUGAAGUCAGUGAGACCAAGAACCCACCAAUUCCGGACACACUGGGAUUACAGGCGUGAGCCACCGCACCCGGCUUUUUUUUGGGGGGUGGUGGGGACGGAGUCUUGCUCUAUCGCCCAGGCUGGAGUGCAGUGGCACCAUCUGGGUUCACUGCAAUCUCUGCCUCCCAGAUUCAAGCGAUGCUCCUGCCUCAGCCUCCCGACUAGCUGGGACUAUAGGUAUAUGCCACCACACUGGGUUAAUUUUUGUAUUUUUGUAGAGACGGGGUUUCACCAUAUUGGCCAGGCUGGUCUCGAACUCCUGACCUCAUGAUCCGCCCUCCUCGGCCUCCCAAAGUGCUGGGAUUACAGGCGUGAGUCACCGUGCCCGGCCAGUUUAUAGGUUUAGAAACUGAAACUCUGGCUGUGGAGCUAGGAAGCAGCUUGCCCAGGAGGCAAAUGCAGGCCUGAUUCCAAGGCCCGGGCGCGGAGCUGCCAAGCUUUAUGGGUCCAGAGUCACUGGCAAGUCCUAAUAAUAGUAAUAAUUUACUGUAUGCCUCGCCUGCAUCAUUCUAAGUACCUUUCCGAUGCUGUCUCACAUACUUUUGUGGGAUGGGUAUCACUAUUGUCCUUGGGGUCCUCCCAAGGAGGUUAAGGCAUAGUGGUUCAAGCCUGUAAUUCCAGCACUUUUGGAGGCCAAGGUGAGAGGAUUGCUUGAGCCCAGGAGUUCGAGACCAGCCUAGGCAACAUAGUAAGAACCUAUCUUUACAAAAAACAAAAAAUUAGCCAGGCAUGGUGGUGAGCACCUGUAGUCCCAGCUCCUGGGGAGGCUGAGGCGGGAAGAUUAAUUGAGCCCGGGAGUUUGAGGCUGCAGUGAGCUAUGAUCACACCACUACACUCCAGCCUGGGUGACAGAGUGAGACCCUGUCUCCAAAUAUAUAAAUGCUCCCCUGCCUCCCUGUGGGGAUAGAUAGGGUAAGAGAACCCACUCAGAAAGAAAGGUUAAGAUGGCCUGGGUGGCUGUGGUACCCCAGGAGACUAAAAAAAGUUACGGUGAGAAAUGCUUGGACUGCAACUCUUGGUAAAAUCUGAUGCUGGCAGGUGGGCAUUUUGGAAAAUAAGUCCUUGGGGUGAUUCUCCUAGAGAUGGGCCUAGCUUGACAACAGGUAACAGAGCUGUGACGUCAGCUGAGCUCUGGCGGUUCUCACACUGCAGGAUUCCAACUACAAACCUAGACCGGGGAGGAACAGGCUCAGAAGUAGGUUUUCGCCGGGUGCAGUGGCUCAUGCUUGUAAUCCUAGCACUUUGGGAGGCCGAGGUGGGUGGAUCACAAGGUCAGGAGUUCGAGACCAGCCUGGCCAAGAAGGUGAAACCCUGUCUCUACUAAAAAUACAAAAAUUAGCUAUUCAGGAGGCCAAGGCAGGGGAAUUGCUUGAACCUGGAUGGCAGAGGUUGCAGUGAGCUGAGUUCAUGCCACUGCACUCCAGCCUGGGCGACAGAAUGAGACUCCGUCUCAAAAAAAAAAAAAAAAAAAAAAAGGUUUUCAAGCCAAGUCUCAGAAGGCACAGGAGGUGGUUGCUGUAGCAAUCAUCUUUUAUUUUAUUUAUUUGAGACAGAGUCUCGCUCUGUCGCCCAGGCCGGAGUGCAGUGGCAGGAUCUCAGCUCCUGACCUCAUAAUCCGCCUGCCUCGCCCUCCCAAAGUGGUGGGAUUACAGGGAUUACCGUGCCUGGCCAGCAGUCAUCUUUUACAAUGAACAAAUAGGGCUGGGCGCGGUGGCUCACAUCUGUAAUCCUAGCACUUUGGGAGAUGGGCAGAUCACGAGGUCAGGAGACCAGCCUGGCCAACAUGGUGAAACCUCGUCUCUACUAAAAAUACAAAAAUUAGCUGGGUGUGGUGAUGCACGCCUGUAAUCCUAGCUACUCAGGAGGUUGAGGCAGGAGAAUCGCUUGAACCCGGGAGGUGGAGGUUUCAGUGAGCUGAGAUUGCACCACUGCACUCCAGCCUGGGCGACAGACAGACCAAGACUCCAUCUCAAAAAAAAAAUAAAUAAAUAAAUAAAAAUAAGUCAGGCACAGUGGCUCACGCAUGCCUGUAAUCACAGCCCUGUGGGAGGGUGAGGCAUGAGGAUCGCUUGAGGCCAGGGGUUUGAGACUAGCUUGGGCAACAUAGUGAGACCCUAUCUCUACAAAAAGUAAAAUGAACAAAUAAAUAUAGCAACUACAUAUCAGAACUUGGAGGCACUUAUUAGCUAUUAGUCCUGAGUACUUGUAAACACUGAAUAGAAGCUAGCCAAAUUUUUAAUUCUAAUAAUAGCUAAUACUGAUUACUGAAGGCUAUGUGCAAGGCACUGUUCCAAGUGUUGUUUUUUUUUUUUUUGUAUUAACUCAUUAAAUCCUCACAAUCACCCUGUACAAGUAUUAUUACUGUCUCCAUGUUACAGGGAGGGAAACUGACGCACAAGGAGACUACGUACCUGCCCAAGUUACACAGCAGUGGAUUGGAAGCAGAGGUUCUGUUCCAGCAGCCACAUGUCCCCUCCAAGGUGAAGCUAUAAUACUGAUGCCUGAAUCUUUGGGGGAGGAGGCAAGUCAAGUGGGCAGAGAUUAUCCCUAUUUGAGACAAGUUUCAGAGAGGGGAAGUGACUUGACCAAUGUCACACGGCUGACAAACACUUAAAACUGAUGCUGGAACUGGAUCUUUUGCAUCUAAGCCAAGGGCUCUACUCACUGUUCCAAUCUACCACCAGUGCCCAAGCAUGGAGGGGACAGGGAUCUGGGCUGGUAAUAGGGACUUCCAGCCCAAGACAGGUGCAGUGAUGAUUCAGAGCCUCCUGAGAAUCAUCAAGUCUAGUAAAUUAUAAGUCGCAAUGACAAUUACAUCAGCUAAAGUUUAUGAUGCUUACUAUGUGCCAUUGUUCUAAGGCUCAAAAUGCAUUAACUUUUAAGCUGGGCGUGGUGGCUCAUGCCUAUAAUCCCAGCAUUUUGGGAGGCCGAGGCGGGUGGAUCAUUAAGGUCAGGAGUUUGAGACCAGCCUGGCCAACACGGUGAAACCCUGUCUCUACUGUGGCCGGGUGCAGUGGCUCACGCCUGUAAUCCUAGCAGUUUGGGAGGCCAAGGCGGGCAGAUCACUUGAGGUCAGGAGUUCGAAACCAGCCUGGUCAACAUGGUGAAAGACCGUCUCUACUAAAAAUACAAAAAAAUUAGCUGGGUGUGGUGGCUGGCGCCUGUAAUCCCAGCUACUUGGGAGGCUGAGGCAGAAUUGCUUGAACCUGGGAGGUAGAGGUUGCAGUGAGCCCAGAUCAUGCCACUGCACUCCCACCUGGGCAACAGAGUGAAAUUCCAUCUCAAAAAAAAAAAAAAAAAAAAAAAAAAAAAAGGCCAGGUGUGGUGGUGCAUGCCUGUAAUCCCAGCUAUUCAGGUAGCCAAGGUACGAGAAUUGCUUGAACCAAGGAGGUGGAGGUUGGAGGUUGCAGUGAGCUGAGACUGCCCCACUGAACUCCAGCCUAGGUAACAGAGACUGUCUCAAAAAAAAAAAAAAAAGCAUUAACUUUUAAUCUUCACAUACCCUAUGGUCCCCAGUAUACAGAUGAGGAAACGAAAGAGCUCAGAGUUCUGGGAAACACGCUCAAAAUCACGUCAGUAAGCUUUUCUGGUUCCCCAGGAGGAUGCUUACCAAAGCUUAGACAUGCUGGUGUGACACAGUCAAAUUGUAAAAACAGAAAGACACACACGUGGCCUUGCCUGGCAAUAAAUAUUUUAAUUUGUUUCAUUUUUAUGAUG